rnacentral:rRNA from 1 species
GACGAACGCUGGCGGCGUGCUUAACACAUGCAAGUCGAACGGAAAGGCCCUGCUUUUGUGGGGUGCUCGAGUGGCGAACGGGUGAGUAACACGUGAGUAACCUGCCCUUGACUUUGGGAUAACUUCAGGAAACUGGGGCUAAUACCGGAUAGGAGCUCCUGCUGCAUGGUGGGGGUUGGAAAGUUUCGGCGGUUGGGGAUGGACUCGCGGCUUAUCAGCUUGUUGGUGGGGUAGUGGCUUACCAAGGCUUUGACGGGUAGCCGGCCAGAAAGGGGGAGCAGCCACAUUGGGGUUAAUAUGCAACCGAGACUGCUGCGGGAAGCAGCAGUGGGGAAUAAUGUAGAAAGGGCGGAGGCCUGAUGCAGCAUCGACGCGAUGGGGAUGGCGGCCUUCGGGUAGUAUUCCGAUCACAACUGGGACGAAGCGUGCGGGACGGUAAUGGGUAAUGGAGGACGAACUAGCAACGUG